GACGAACGCUGGCGGCGUGCUUAACACAUGCAAGUCGAACGGAAAGGCCCUGCUUUUGUGGGGUGCUCGAGUGGCGAACGGGUGAGUAACACGUGAGUAACCUGCCCUUGACUUUGGGAUAACUUCAGGAAACUGGGGCUAAUACCGGAUAGGAGCUCCUGCUGCAUGGUGGGGGUUGGAAAGUUUCGGCGGUUGGGGAUGGACUCGCGGCUUAUCAGCUUGUUGGUGGGGUAGUGGCUUACCAAGGCUUUGACGGGUAGCCGGCCUGAGAGGGUGACCGGCCACAUUGGGACUGAGAUACGGCCCAGACUCCUACGGGAGGCAGCAGUGGGGAAUAUUGCACAAUGGGCGGAAGCCUGAUGCAGCAACGCCGCGUGCGGGAUGACGGCCUUCGGGUUGUAAACCGCUUUCGCCUGUGACGAAGCGUGAGUAACGGUAAUGGGUAAAGAAGCACCGGCUAACUACGUG
rnacentral:rRNA from 1 species